CCUACGGGUGGCAGCAGUGGGGAAUAUUGGUCAAUGGGCGCGAGCCUGAACCAGCCAAGUAGCGUGAAGGAUGACUGCCCUACGGGUUGUAAACUUCUUUUAUAAAGGAGUGAAGUAGGGCACGUGUGCCUUUUUGUAUGUACUUUAUCAAUAAGGAUCGGCUAACUCCGUGCCAGCAGCCCCGGUAAUACGGGGGAUCCGAGCGUUAUCCGGUUUUAUUGGGUUUAAGGGAACGUAGAUGGGUUGUUAAGUCAGUUGUGAAAGUUUGCGGCUUAACCGUAAAAUUGCAAUGGAUACUGGCAGUCUUGAGUACAGUUGAGGUAGGCGAAAUUCGUGGUGUAGCGGUGAAAUGCGUAGAUAUCACGAAGAACUCCGAUUGCGAAGGCAGCUUACUAAACUGCCACUGACAUUGAGGCUCGAAAGUGUGGGUAUCAAACAGGAUUAGAUACCCCAGUAGUC
rnacentral:rRNA from 1 species